UACGGAGGAUCCAAGCGUUAUCCGGAUUCAUUGGGUUUAAAGGGUGCGUAGGCGGAAUGAUAAGUCAGUGGUGAAAUCCUGCAGCUUAACCGCAGAACUGCCAUUGAUACUGUCAAUCUUGAGUACAUUUGAUGUGGGCGGAAUGUGUCAUGUAGCGGUGAAAUGCUUAGAUAUGACACAGAACACCGAUUGCGAAGGCAGCUCACAAAACUGUAACUGACGCUGAGGCACGAAAGCGUGGGUAUCAAACAGG
rnacentral:rRNA from 1 species